UGAGCUCAAAUUUAAAAUCUGGCGUCUUUCAGGCGUCCGAGUUGUAAUCUAUAGAGGCGUUUUCCGCGCCGGACCGCGUCCAAGUCUCUUGGAAUAGAGUAUCAAAGAGGGUGACAAUCCCGUACUUGACGCGACAACCGGUGCUCUGUGAUACGUUCUCAAUGAGUCGAGUUGUUUGGGAAUGCAGCUCUAAAUGGGUGGUAAAUUCCAUCUAAGGCUAAAUAUUGGCGAGAGACCGAUAGCGAACAAGUACCGUGAGGGAAAGAUGAAAAGCACUUUGGAAAGAGAGUUAAACAGCACGUGAAAUUGUUAAAAGGGAAACGAUUGAAGUCAGUCGUGUGAAAGGUAUUCAGCCGUCUCUGGCGGUGUAUUUGCCUUUCACGGGUCAACAUCAGUUUGAUCCGGUAGAAAAAGGCGGGAGGAAGGUGGCACCCUCGGGUGUGUUAUAGCCUCCUGUCAUAUGUGCCGGACCAGACUGAGGAACGCAGCUUGCCGCAAGGCCGGGGUUCGCCCACGUACAAGCUAGGA
rnacentral:rRNA from 1 species